UCUAUUCUAUAUUUUCAAAACUACAUCUAUACAUUUAUCCUACAAAUCUACAACUCCCAGUUUAUGGCUACACGUGCUGAUCUUAUCUAUAGUCAUGCAUAUUCAUUAGCUAUGUAGGCGUGUCAAAAUCGUAUCAUACGCGAUAAUGACCAGCCAGUACACACUGUAAUGAUUUCAUUAACCAGUAUUAAAAAGAUAAACAUAACAUCCCCGCCCACAAAUUAGAAAUUUCUAAAAAUUUCUUACUGGUAAAUGAAAUCUAUUUAUAUAAAAAUUAUGAAUAAUAAUAAUAAAAUAAAAAAAAAA
rnacentral:lncRNA from 1 species